rnacentral:rRNA from 1 species
UACCGGCAGCUCGAGUGAUGGCCAAUAUUAUUGGGCCUAAAGCGUCCGUAGCUGGCCGAACAGGUCCGUCGGGAAAUCCGCUCGCUCAACGAGCGGACGUCCGGCGGAAACCAGUCGGCUUGGGACCGGAAGACCCGAGGGGUACGGCCGGGGUAGGAGUGAAAUCCUGUAAUCCUGGCCGGACCACCGGUGGCGAAAGCGCCUCGGGAGGACGGAUCCGACAGUGAGGGACGAAAGCUUGGGUCACGAACCGG